GGAGUACCAUCCGCAGACCGAAUGACGUAACUCUCCCACCCCAAGAGAGUUUCUAAAUUUUAAGUUUUGAGGGGCUAAAUAUUGGGAUCAGUGAAAAGCUGCCCCUGCUCUCCUAUGUUCAGAUGAAGAAGGACAUCCUAUGAAUGGCAGAGGACUAUGAGAAGCAGGGCCUCCUACAAGAAGCGUUUAUAACGCACCACAAAUUUUUAACGCUCUUUGUGGAGAAACUAAGAAAAGGCCCAGAAUAUAACAACAUCCUUUCACGAACACAAAAAUCAAAAAGUGUAUAAACAAGGUAUUUGAAAAAGCUGAGACCCUGAAGAUCAAAAUAUUAGAAGGUUAUGCCAGGGAGUAUGAAGAGUACCUG